AACGAACGCUGGCGGCAGGCCUAACACAUGCAAGUCGAACGGAGUUUUAUGAAGUUUUCGGACGGAUUAAAACUUAGUGGCGGACGGGUGAGUAACGCGUGGGUAGCCUGCCUCAUACAGGGGGAUAACAGUUGGAAACGACUGCUAAUACCGCAUGAUAUCACUUUGCUGCAUGGCAGAGUGAUCAAAGAUUUAUCGGUAUGAGAUGGACCCGCGUCUGAUUAGCUAGUUGGUAGGGUAACGGCCUACCAAGGCGACGAUCAGUAGCCGACUUGAGAGAGUGAUCGGCCACAUUGGGACUGAGACACGGCCCAAACUCCUACGGGAGGCAGCAGUGGGGAAUAUUGCACAAUGGGGGAAACCCUGAUGCAGCGACGCCGCGUGAGUGAAGAAGUAUUUCGGUAUGUAAAGCUCUAUCAGCAGGGAAGAUAAUGACGGUACCUGACUAAGAAGCCCCGGCUAACUACGUGCCAGCAGCCGCGGUAAUAC
rnacentral:rRNA from 1 species